AUCCAGAUGACGAGUCCCAAAUAGGACGAAAUGCGCGUCCUGAAU
rnacentral:hammerhead_ribozyme from 1 species